CUACGGGGGGCUCCAGGCGAGAAAACUUUGCAAUGUGCGAAAGCACGACAAGGUUAAUCCGAGUGGUUUGUGCUAAACGAACCUUUUGACAGUCCUAGAAACACUGUUGAAUAAGGGGUGGGCAAGUGUCUGGUGUCAGCCGCCGCGGUAAAACCAGCACCUCAAGUGGUCAGGAUGAUUAUUGGGCCUAAAGCAUCCGUAGCCGGCUCUGUAAGUUUUCGGUUAAAUCUGUACGCUCAACGUACAGGCUGCCGGGAAUACUGCAGAGCUAGGGAGUGGGAGAGGUAGACGGUACUCGGUAGGAAGGGGUAAAAUCCUUUGAUCUAUUGAUGACCACCUGUGGCGAAGGCGGUCUACCAGAACACGUCCGACGGUGAGGGAUGAAAGCUGGGGGAGCAAACCGGAUUAGAUACCCCAGUAGUC
rnacentral:rRNA from 1 species